AUACGGAGGGUGCAAGCGUUAAUCGGAAUUACUGGGCGUAAAGUGUACGUAGGCGGUCCGUUAAGUUAGAUGUGAAAGCCCCGGGCUUAACCUGGGAACUGCAUUUAAAACUGGCGGACUAGAGUUGAGUAGAGGGGAGUGGAAUUUCAGGUGUAGCGGUGAAAUGCGUAGAGAUCUGAAGGAACACCAGUGGCGAAGGCGACUCCCUGGACUCGAACUGACGCUGAGGUACGAAAGCGUGGGUAGCAAACGGGAUUAGAUACCCCAGUAGUCC
rnacentral:rRNA from 1 species